GGGAAUGUGGCUUAGUGGUAGAGCGCUUGCCUAGCAUGCAUGAAACCCUGGGUUUGAUUCCUCAGUACCA
rfam:Dipodomys ordii contig_28406, whole genome shotgun sequence.